AGUUAUGAAUUUUGUAGUGGGGUAUUAUUACUAACCCAAAUUACUAAAUAAACCAGUCAGAUUAGUUGAGUAAUUUUUUUCUGAUUGAUCAUGCAGAUUACGACUGUGAGCCUGGCUCCCCAGGUGACAAUGGUGACCCAGGAUUCCAAGGAACUCCUGGAAACAAAGGGCUCAAAGGGAUUAAAGGUUGUCCUGGGACAUGUGAAUGCUCCUUCGGUGGGGGAAUACCAGGGCCCCCUGGUCCACCUGGUGUCCCAGGAUCUCCAGGGUUACCUGGAAUUCAAGGUCUUCAGGGUGAUCCUGGACUUAAAGGAGAUGAUGGACCAACAGGACAACAAGGUUUUCAAGGAAUUCCAGGUGUGAAAGGCCAAAAAGGUCAGAAAGGUGAUUCCUUUGUGAUAGAUGGUAAAGGUGCCAAGGGUGACCGAGGACCCCUCGGGCAUUCUGGCCUUCCUGGGGCAACAGGUAGGCCAGGAC
rnacentral:lncRNA from 1 species